CCUGAGAGAGCUCAGCCCUGAGAGGGGAAUUAAGAAGCAACUGGUGGUAUCAUUAUUAUAACUUGGAAAGGAGAGCACAGCUGGAGAAUUUGUUUCAUGUGGACAUCUUUUUGCAUUGGACUUAGGAAGGAAUGGAUGAUUAUUGAUGUUGUUGUUAUUAUUAUUAGGUUUGGCUGGAGACUUAAAUGAACUCCCAAGAACAAGGGAAACUCAGGAAGGGACUGUACCUGAUAGCAGAAAGGUUCUAGCACUGCUUUGGAUAUUUCAUAUUCUCACAGCUCUGUCUUUCUGUUACCUCAGUCCUACUCAUUUCGGGUCGAAUUUGCUGUUCAUCAGGAAAAUUUGCUACGAAGCCCAAGGACCUGACAACUCCUCUUGGAAGAAAGAGAACUCUAGGAAGGAAACUAAGACUGUAUUGUACUGUUAAAGAUGACAUACCACGGCAAGCAUGGAGCCCGCUCAGCUCACUGUCACCGUACGUCUCCUGGGUGCUGCUGGCAGACGCGGUACUGCAUUGCUACACAGCAGCAGCUCCUUGCCUUUGCAAGUUAGCAAAGACUGUUAGCAGCCGUAUUUUACCGUCUACUGCUGUCUCCUGGUUCCUCCUAGCUGGCCUCGGUGAGGUCAGUCGAGGGCUCCUGGGCAGACAUGGAUGCUCCUGGACAGCCUCGGUGAGAUCGGUCGGGGGUGCCUGGACGUAAAUGGGGAGUGACUCCAGGUCAUUCCCUUCUUUAAGUUUCGUCUAAUGGACAUCAGUCCUGCCUGGAAUAUCAGGCAAGCCUACCAAAGAACCAGAGAGGCAAACGGCCGCUCCG